CCUACGGGUGGCAGCAGUGGGGGAUAUUGCACAAUGGGGGAAACCCUGAUGCAGCGACGCCGCGUGAGUGAAGAAGGAUUUCGGUAUGUAAAGCUCUAUCAGCAGGGAAGAAAAAAGACGGUACCUUACUCAGAAGCCCCGACUAACUACGUGCCAGCAGCCGCGGUAAUACGUAGGGGGCAAGCGUUAUCCGGAUUUACUGGGUGUAAAGGGAACGUAGACGGGAAUAGAAGUCGGAAGUGAAAUACCCGGGCUCAACCUGGGAAUUGCAUUGGAAACUGGGUGGCUGGAGUGCUGGAGAGGUAAGCGGAAUUCCUAGUGUAGCGGUGAAAUGCGUAGAUAUUAGGAGGAACACCAGUGGCGAAGGCGGCUUACUGGACAGGAACUGACGUUGAGGCUCGAAAGCGUGGGGAGCAAACAGGAUUAGAUACCCCUGUAGUC
rnacentral:rRNA from 1 species